GAGGAUGUAGCUUAGUGAUAAAGCACUUGUUUAGUAUUCCAAGGGCCUGGGUUCAAACCCCAGCACCUCA
rnacentral:tRNA from 1 species